AUUGAACGCUGGCGGCAUGCCUUACACAUGCAAGUCGAACGGUAACAGGUUAAGCUGACGAGUGGCGAACGGGUGAGUAAUGUAUCGGAACGUGCCCAGUCGUGGGGGAUAACUGCUCGAAAGAGCAGCUAAUACCGCAUACGACCUGAGGGUGAAAGCGGGGGAUCGCAAGACCUCGCGCGAUUGGAGCGGCCGAUAUCAGAUUGGGUAGUUGGUGGGGUAAAGGCCUACCAAGCCUACGAUCUGUAGCUGGUCUGAGAGGACGACCAGCCACACUGGGACUGAGACACGGCCCAGACUCCUACGGGAGGCAGCAGUGGGGAAUUUUGGACAAUGGACGCAAGUCUGAUCCAGCCAUGCCGCGUGCGGGAAGAAGGCCUUCGGGUUGUAAACCGCUUUUGUCAGGGAAGAAAAGGUUCUGGUUAAUACCUGGGACUCAUGACGGUACCUGAAGAAUAAGCACCGGCUAACUACGUGCCAGCAGCCGCCGUAAGAC
rnacentral:rRNA from 1 species